UACGUAGGGGGCGAGCGUUGUCCGGAGUUACUGGGCGUAAAGGGCGCGCAGGCGGUCUGGUGAGUUUGGAGUGACAGUGCUCGGCUUAACUGAGCAAGGCCUUCGAAAACUGUCAGACUUGAGCACUCAAGAGGGACAUAGAAUUCCGGGUGGAGUGGUGAAAUGCGUAGAUAUCCGGAGGAAUACCAAAGGCGAAGGCAGUGUCCUGGGGAGUGUCUGACGCUCAGGCGCGAAAGCUAGGGGAGCGAACAGG
rnacentral:rRNA from 1 species